UGGGGACAUUCCAAUCUUAGGAGUAGUCGGCCUUCCCGAAGAUCAUCACUUAAGAUACAGUUCUUCAUUCAAGAACACGUUUUCCCAAAAGACGACUGUUUUUAUGUUAUUCGCGUAGCACAGAAGUCCUCCAAUACCAGAAAAGCAAAAAAGUAGAAAAGAAAGGCCACCAGCAAAGAUGAUCUGCUUAAAGCUGCCGAGAGUGAGGGUACUGAUUGUUCAUUCUCUGGAAAUGAACCUUCAGGAAAAAUCUUCAGGGAGGAGGUGACUUUUAAUCCAAAGCAGUUACCUACAUACCUGAGCUUGUGGUCCCUUCUUUCUUCAAAGCAAGGCAUUGCAGUUUAUUCUUGUAAUACCGGCAUUGGAGAGACUGUGGCAGAAGUUGGAGGCCAGCCUGAGCUACAGAACGAGUUCCAGGCCAGCCUGUCUCAAAUAUAAAUAAAGAAAAUAACCCAGCA